rnacentral:rRNA from 1 species
UACGUAGGGGGCAAGCGUUGUCCGGACUUAUUGGGCGUAAAGAGCGUGUAGGCGGUUAUACAGGUCCGCUGUGAAAACUGGAGGCUUAACCUCCAGACGUCGGUGGAAACCGUAUGACUAGAGUCCGGAAGAGGAGAGUGGAAUUCCUGGUGUAGCGGUGAAAUGCGCAGAUAUCAGGAAGAACACCCGUGGCGAAGGCGGCUCUCUGGGACGGUACUGACGCUGAGACGCGAAAGCGUGGGUAGCAAACAGG